rnacentral:rRNA from 1 species
UGAGGAAUAUUGGUCAAUGGGCGGAAGCCUGAACCAGCCAAGUAGCGUGAAGGAUGACUGCCCUAUGGGUUGUAAACUUCUUUUAUAGGGGAAUAAAAUGAGCCACGUGUGGCUUUUUGUAUGUACCCUAUGAAUAAGGAUCGGCUAACUCCGUGCCAGCAGCCGCGGUAAUACGUAGGGAGCGAGCGUUGUCCGGAAUUACUGGGUGUAAAGGGAGCGUAGGCGGGAUCGCAAGUCAGAUGUGAAAACUAUGGGCUUAACCCAUAAACUGCAUUUGAAACUGUGGUUCUUGAGUGAAGUAGAGGUAAGCGGAAUUCCUAGUGUAGCGGUGAAAUGCGUAGAUAUUAGGAGGAACAUCAGUGGCGAAGGCGGCUUACUGGGCUUUAACUGACGCUGAGGCUCGAAAGCGUGGGGAGCAAACAGGAUUAGAUACCCUGGUAGUCCACGCCGUAAACGAUGAUUACUAGGUGUGGGGGACUGACCCCUUCCGUGCCGCAGCAAACACAAUAAGUAAUCCACCUGGGGAGUACGACCGCAAGGUUGAAACUCAAAGGAAUUGACGGGGGCCCGCACAAGCAGUGGAGUAUGUGGAUUAAUUCGAAGCAACGCGAAGAACCUUACCAGGUCUUGACAUCCAGCUAACGAAGUAGAGAUACAUUAGGUGCCCUUCGGGGAAAGCUGAGACAGGUGGUGCAUGGUUGUCGUCAGCUCGUGUCGUGAGAUGUUGGGUUAAGUCCCGCAACGAGCGCAACCCUUACUGUUAGUUGCUACGCAAGAGCACUCUAGCAGGACCGCCGUUGACAAAACGGAGGAAGGUGGGGAUGACGUCAAAUCAUCAUGCCCCUUAUGACCUGGGCCUCACACGUACUACAAUGGCUGUCAACAGAGGGAUGCAAAGCCGCGAGGUGGAGCGAACCCCUAAAAGCAGUCUUAGUUCGGAUUGUAGGCUGCAACCCGCCUACAUGAAGUCGGAAUUGCUAGUAAUCGCAGAUCAGCAUGCUGCGGUGAAUACGUUCCC